AUGUCGAGCCAUGGGGGACCAACGGUAGCCGUCAAGCUGUUCAUCGACAAGGGGAAGAAGACGGUGCUGUUCGCGGAGUCCGACAAGGACUUCGUGGACAUCCUCUUCAGCUUCCUCACGCUGCCUCUGGGCACGAUCGUCCGCCUCUUCAACAAGCAGUCCCAGAUCGGGUGCCUCGACGAGCUGUACAGGAGCGUGGAGGGCCUCAGCGAAGAUCACUUCCAGACGAGGGAUUGCAGGGCCAUGCUCCUUCGUCCCGCCAAUGCCGCGGCAGUGCACUGCGGCCGGCUCAAGGUCAAGGUUGACGACGCCGAUCAGACGGCGAUAUAUGUCUGCAAUAACUGUAGUGCAGGGUACUUCAGCCCGGUCCGUGAUGUUAGUUGCAAGUGUGGCAGGAUCAUGUAUGGCAUUAAGCGAUUGCCAGAUAAUUCUGCUGCUGGUACUGGAGACAGCACUGUGGAUGGGAUUUUCUCCAGAGGUGGCUCCAAGUUCAUCGUCACGGAUGAUCUCCAAGUUGCUCCUUCUUCUACCACUCUCAUGUUCUCCCUCAUCGACAGGCUUGGUCUGCAGGAACAGCUAAAUAUCAAGGAGGAGGUGCUCCAACUCAACUCCAAUAAGAUAAUUAGCCUGCUUGGAAGAGCACUGGUGUCGAAGCAACCUUUGACUGGCCUAUAUUUUGAUGUUCCUAGUGCGCCGAAUGGGGCGAGUUUUUGCUGUGAGAAUCUGUUAAAGCCACAAGCAAUUGUGGUUGACCCGAAGUUCACACCAAUAAAGAUAAGGGUUGUUCAGACGAAGGAUAAUUCCUCAGUGUUGUAUGCUGAAGUUAACCAAGAUUUGGUUGAUCUCUUGUUUGGCCUCCUUUGCAUUCCUGUGGGGUCUAUAGUGAAGACUUACGGUCAGCUGUCACCAAACGGAUGUCUUCAUAAUGUCUACAACAGUUUGAGUGUUGCAGGAUGUGUAAAGCAAGAGUGCAGAGGCUUACUCCUAUCCCCGAAGCUGGCCCCUUUCUUUGGGUGCAGCAGUAAUGUACUUCAGGUUGAAGAAUUACCUAUCCGACAGCAUUAUGUUCCACAUUAUGCUUGCGAGCUGAAUCCAAAAUCCCCGAACAGGGGAUGUGAAACUUCUUAUAGAGCUUAUGUCAACCAAGGGUCCAUCAACUUCAUGGUGACUGACGGUCUGCGCAUCGUCGAUUUCUCCUUGGCCAAGAGCCUCCAGGCCAUACGCGCGGCGAAGGUUCCGAAGGGAGAGCUUGUGGAGAAAGAGCUAGUUCUAGACAAAACCAAGGUGCGAAUUAUCAAGUCAAGAGAAUUAGCUCGUUCUUCCUUAUUGUUCAAUCUUUUGCUAUGUUCUCAACGGCUGACUGUUUGCUGGCAUUAUCAGGUUCUGAAGAUACUAGGAGCUGCAGUGGCUACUCGCAAUGCACUCAGCAGCGUGCUCCUGCCAACACCAAAGAAGAAUGCCGCGACAACCUCGACUGAAGCCACCACAGCGUCUGGCCUCCAGCUGAGGAGGAGCGCGCGACUCCGAAAGCCCAGUCAGCCAGGAGAAGAGUGA
rnacentral:rRNA from 1 species